rnacentral:lncRNA from 1 species
CACUUGUUCACCAAGCCUUCUCUGUGGUUUCUCCCUCGCCAGUUCACUGGGCCUCCUCUCCGCCACCAGUUCACUAGGCCUUCUCUGUGCUUUCUCCGUCACCAGUUCACUGGGCCUUCUUUCAGCUUUCUCCGUCACCAGUUCACUGGAUCUUCUUUCUGCUUUCUCUGUGACCAGUUCACUAAGCCUUCUCGGUGGUUUCUCCGUCAUCAGUUCACUGACCCUUCUUGGUGGCUUCUCUGUCAUCAGGUCACUGAGCCUUCUCGGUGGUUUCUCUGUCCCAACAUCACUGAGCCUUCUCUGAGGUUUCUCUGCCACCAUUUC